ensembl:lncRNA
UGGAAUGUCUUGUCCUGGCCCUGCCUCCACCCAGCCCCCCUGGCCCCAAACGGACACUCUCUCCGGGGCGAGGGCCCUCCCCAAGCGGGGCCCCAGACUAGGCAAGAUUGUCGGCACAUUAGGUCACAGUUAGCUCUGCGAUGAGACUGUUGGUGACCAUAUAUAGGAGUGAAUCUUCCUCGGAGACAGCAGCCCUAGGCCUCGCAGCUGCAGCUCCCACUUGGCCCUCUCGCCAAGACAGGGAUUUGGGCCUCAGACGCUGGGCAUCCCACAGUGAGCAAGCUCAAGUGUCCAGGGCCUCCUGGGAAGUCCCCAGGAGAAGGAACAUAGGGCCCUUCUUCUGAGCAAGGACCUGUCUCAAGGUGGGGCUCUUGACCGGGGCCACAGACGUGAAGUCACGGCUCGCAGGGCCUGAAGCCACGGCGAAGCAGGCCUGAAGGAGCCACCUGCAUACGGAGCCCUGCGGCCCAGGAUCGGCGCACUUGUGGUUCUCAACCUGGCUACUCACCAGAAUCGCCUACGGGAGCCUUGGUCCAUCCCAGAGACGCUUGAGAAACCGGCCUGGGUGUCCUCAGGUUCUUAAAGUCCCUGAUCAGUCCAGUGUGCACGGCUGAGAAACACCGGGCUUUGAAUGGUCCUCAGGGUCCUGUGGGGUGGAUGGUGAUGGCCGGGAGGAGGCCGUGGGCAGGGGGCGUUCAGCUCACUGGAGGACAUCCCAUCCUCGGCUUCAGCCAAUAGCUACCAUCUAAGAGUACACCACCUGGGGUGGGGUGGGGAGUGGUGGGGGGACUAGGCUGUUAUGUGAAAUUCUCCAAUUUUUAAACUUCAGCAGCUAGUUUAUUAAAUAGCCAAACUACAUGUCUGUGGACCAACCCAUGUCUCCAUGCAGCCCCUGAGAUGGAGCAGAGAAAACAAGCACCAAAACCCCUGGGGACUCAAGGGCCCCUCGUGGGGCCCAGACAAGGCUCCUGGCACCACCACCUUCUUGGAAUGUGUCCUUACCUGUGAGCUGGAGCAAUUGGGACACACUGCAGGCUGCAGCGGACGCCGGGCUGCCGCGGAGGCUCUGUGCUGGCUGCUUCUCCUCUCCCCGGCUCCCGCUGCCAUCGGCCUUCUGCCCUGGGCCCUGGCCACAGGCCCAAGUCUCUCCUGUUCCUCUGGCCUCAUGUGUGUGCUCCUAACAAUCCCAGCAGGAGCCAGGGUAGAGACCGAUAUGGCGGGUGGGGAAACUGAAGUCCAGGGGAGGCCCUAAUGCCCCAGACUGGCAGACAGGUCCUCCACUGCACCCUCCCAUCUCCACGCUCUGUGCUUUUUCUGAUCCCUACCAGAGACUCCAAGUGGAUUCCCACCAGCGCUCUCAGGCCUUCAGCAAGGCACUAGGGGCGUCUCCUCGGGGCCUGGGUGGGGAGUCAGGCCCCUGUCUGCCCUCAAACAGCUGGACCCUGGCUCCGCAGAAGGUCAGGCAUCCAAACGCCACCCCAGAGGCUCCCUGGCCCGCCUCCCACAUGAUGUUGAGAGAGGAGACACUUUCUACUUGUGUGUGUUCCGCUCCCGGGCAGGAGACGAGCUCAAGGGAGCCAGGCCAGGGAGGUGCACGGGGGCAAGGUAGCGGAGGGUGCCUCCAGACCCGACCCCGCACACUGCCAGCACCCCACCGUCCGUGCGCCUGCAGUGCCGGUGUGGCCUGGUGCACCACAGGGUUAAAUGUGGAAUAAAUGAGUGAGAUCUGGC